rnacentral:tRNA from 37 species
GGUAGCGUGUCCGAGCGGCCGAAGGUACUCGCCUCGAAAGCGAGUGAGGGUAAAACCUCCGCGGGUUCAAAUCCCGCCGCUACCGCCA